AAUUUUUAUGGAAAGUUUGAUCCUGGCUCAGGAUGAACGCUGGCGGCGUGCCUAAUACAUGCAAGUCG
rnacentral:rRNA from 1 species